UACGAAGGGGGCUAGCGUUGCUCGGAAUUACUGGGCGUAAAGCGCACGUAGGCGGCUUUGUAAGUUAGAGGUGAAAGCCUGGAGCUCAACUCCAGAACUGCCUUUAAGACUGCAUCGCUUGAAUCCAGGAGAGGUGAGUGGAAUUCCGAGUGUAGAGGUGAAAUUCGUAGAUAUUCGGAAGAACACCAGUGGCGAAAGGCGGCUCACUGGACUGGUAUUGACGCUGAGGUGCGAAAGCGUGGGGAGCAAACAGG
rnacentral:rRNA from 1 species